rnacentral:misc_RNA from 1 species
UACGGAGGGUGCAAGCGUUGUCCGGAAUCAUUGGGUUUAAAGGGUCCGUAGGCGGGUCAAUAAGUCAGUGGUGAAAGUCUGCAUCUCAACUGUAGAAUUGCCAUUGAUACUGUUGACCUUGAGUAAUUAUGAAGUGGUUAGAAUAUGUAGUGUAGCGGUGAAAUGCAUAGAUAUUACAUAGAAUACCGAUUGCGAAGGCAGAGCACUAAUAAAAUACUGACGCUGAUGGACGAAAGCGUAGGUAGCGAACAGG